ACCGACGUCGGCAGGUUUAAAACUGGAAUGAUGCAAAAAACCCGGCUUCUGGCAGAGCACCCCUCCCCUUCCCCCCUCCCCUCAGGCUACAUUUUACAUCGCUACGUUUUGGUUUUUUAAGCGUUUGAGUUUUGAGCCCAAAGUGAUCUCCGUGCACCGAGUAAGGGGAAUGAGAGGGGGAAACGCCAGAGCA